AUUGAACGCUGGCGGCAUGCCUUACACAUGCAAGUCGAACGGUAACAGGUCUUCGGAUGCUGACGAGUGGCGAACGGGUGAGUAAUACAUCGGAACGUGCCUAGUAGUGGGGGAUAACUACUCGAAAGAGUGGCUAAUACCGCAUGAGAUCUACGGAUGAAAGCAGGGGAUCGCAAGACCUUGUGCUACCAGAGCGGCCGAUGGCAGAUUAGGUAGUUGGUGGGAUAAAAGCUUACCAAGCCGACGAUCUGUAGCUGGUCUGAGAGGACGAUCAGCCACACUGGGACUGAGAAACGGCCCCGACUCCUACGGGAGGCAGCAGUGGGGAAUUUUGGACAAUGGGCGCAAGCCUGAUCCAGCAAUGCCGCGUGCAGGAUGAAGGCCUUCGGGUUGUAAACUGCUUUUGUACGGAACGAAAAGCCCCGGGUUAAUACCCUGGGGUCAUGACGGUACCGUAAGGAUAAGCACCGGCUAACUACGUGCCAGCAGCCGCCGUAA
rnacentral:rRNA from 1 species